rnacentral:misc_RNA from 1 species
CAAAGUAGAAGUAGCAGGGUCUCAACUUACCGUGAGAGAGAUGAGAAAAAUGAACGGUACAAAGAUAGCAUCAUUGCUGAGGAUCCCAUGUCCUCACCCAAAAAGCUUAAGCUGAGUCGCUCAGAAGAUGAGAAACCAUCUUCAAGCGCAAAACCGCAAGUUUCGGAAACAACUGAGGUAGCCACAUCCAAACCUGUGAACUCCAUCACUAAUCAGGCUGACACGGGUGAUCUUAAUGCGGCAAAAGUUG